GACGAACGCUGGCGGCGUGCUUAACACAUGCCAGUCGAACGGAAAGGCCCUGCUUUUGUGGGGUGCUCGAGUGGCGAACGGGUGAGUAACACGUGAGUAACCUGCCCUUGACUUUGGGAUAACUUCAGGAAACUGGGGCUAAUACCGGAUAGGAGCUCCUGCUGCAUGGUGGGGGUUGGAAAGUUUCGGCGGUUGGGGAUUGACUCGCGGCUUAUCAGCUUGUUGGUGGGGUAGUGGCUUACCAAGGCUUUGACGGGUAGCCGGCCUGAGAGGGUGACCGGCCACAUUGGGACUGAGAUACGGCCCAGACUCCUACGGGAGGCAGCAGUGGGGAAUAUUGCACAAUGGGCGGAAGCCUGAUGCAGCAACGCCGCGUGCGGGAUGACGGCCUUCGGGUUGUAAACCGCUUUCGCCUGUGACGAAGCGUGAGUGACGGUAAUGGGUAAAGAAGCACCGGCUAACUACGUG
rnacentral:rRNA from 1 species